CGCGCCGCCGCUUCCCACUCGUCGCCGCCACCACCUUCCCCUCCGCCCGCCGGCGAGGCGCUCACCCUCCUCUCCUCCAUGUCACCGACGUUCCACGCCACGCGAGCGACCCGCUCUCUCCCCCAAAGAACAUAUAGGAAGAAGGCCUUCUGAAUCUUUGAUGUCUGAAUAUGAUAUGGAAGUAUGGUACAAUGGCCAAGGAAAGAUACUAGUGAUGUCUCUGUUUCUCUCUCUCCUGCCAAUUCCUUCUCCUGUGUAUGUCGUACCCACUUGGACAUGUUGAGUUAAAUGGCAACAAACAAUCAAGAUUUUGGAGG
rnacentral:lncRNA from 1 species